rnacentral:rRNA from 1 species
UACGGAGGGUGCGAGCGUUAUUCGGAAUUACUGGGCGUAAAGCGCGUGUAGGCGGCCCCGCAAGUCUGAUGUGAAAGCCCCGGGCUUAACCCGGGAAGUGCAUUGGAAACUGCGGGACUUGAGUACUGGAGAGGAUGGGGGAAUUCCCGGUGUAGAGGUGAAAUUCGUAGAGAUCGGGAGGAAUAUCAGUGGCGAAGGCGCCCAUCUGGACGGUUACUGACGCUGAGGUGCGAAAGCGUGGGGAGCAAACAGG